UACAGAGGUCUCAAGCGUUGUUCGGAUUCAUUGGGCGUAAAGGGCGCGUAGGCGGCGCGGUAAGUCACCUGUGAAAUCUCCCGGCUCAACUGGGAGCUUGCAGGCGAAACUGCCGUGCUCGAGUAUGGGAGAGGUGCGUGGAAUUCCUGGUGUAGCGGUGAAAUGCGCAGAUAUCAGGAAGAACACCCGUGGCGAAAGCGGCUCUCUGGAACGGUACUGACGCUGAGACGCGAAAGCGUGGGGAGCGAACAGG
rnacentral:rRNA from 1 species